ACAGCUCAUGUGGGUUUUUGAAUAUUAGCAGUAACCAAACCCUGAAAAAUUCAGACGUUCAUAGGUUGACAAAUUUUGAGUAUAUCUUGCUUCAUUCUUUACAUGACCCAGGUGAUUUGGGGUCCAAUGCCUGAGAACCUUUGGUGUGAUUAGGAUUAUAGAUCGUUCUCGUUGGAGCAUUGGUUCACAAUCGUUUUGUCGUUAGCCAUCCCUUACGGAUGCAUUUUGUAAUGUUUUG
rnacentral:lncRNA from 1 species